GCGAAGCAUACAGGAGGAAGUUUUCGGAUGGAAUCCUGCAUGACUGAGCGGCGGACGGGUGAGUAACGCGUGGGUAACCUGCCUUAUACAGGGGGAUAACAGUUAGAAAUGACUGCUAAUACCGCAUAAGCGCACAGUACCGCAUGGUAGUGUGUGAAAAACUCCGGUGGUAUAAGAUGGACCCGCGUCUGAUUAGCCAGUUGGCGGGGUAACGGCCCACCAAAGCGACGAUCAGUAGCCGACCUGAGAGGGUGACCGGCCACAUUGGGACUGAGACACGGCCCAAACUCCUACGGGAGGCAGCAGUGGGGAAUAUUGCACAAUGGGGGAAACCCUGAUGCAGCAACGCCGCGUGAGUGAAGAAGUAUUUCGGUAUGUAAAGCUCUAUCAGCAGGGAAGAAGAUGACGGUACCUGAUUAAGAAGCCCCGGCUAACUACGUGCCAGCAGCCGCGGUAAUACGUAGGGGGCAAGCGUUAUCCGGAUUUACUGGGUGUAAAGGGAGCGCAGACGGCCGUGCCAGUCCGGAGUGAAAGCCCGGGGCCCAACCCCGGAUCUGCUCCGAAAACUAUGCGGCUAGAGUACUGGAGGGGCAGGCGGAAUUCCUAGUGUAGCGGUGAAAUG
rnacentral:rRNA from 1 species